rnacentral:misc_RNA from 1 species
AGGAAUAUAUAUAAAAUAUAUUGAUUUUUCAUAACACUCUUUUAAGUUGGAAUAUGAAAUCUCAUUAAUUCCAACAUUCCCCCUUGAUGAGAUUUAUUGAAACCAGUAACUCCCUCACAAUAGCUCGUAAUAGCACAACCAUCAAUAAUUACAAGGCACAUUUAGAAACACUUAAACAAAGGCACCAACACAAAGUACCAAAACAUAAAGCAACACUUAGGGUUGCAUUUCCUCUUGAAAGGCGACAUUGGUAAAGAAACAUCAACACAAAGCAAGUCAUAGGGUUGCACUUCCCUCUCCAAAAGCGACACAAAUGAUGUUGGUGAGAAAUAACGGAGACAAAACAAUAGGUUGAUCUUUACCAUAACAGCUCACAUAACUACAGUGUAAUGGCUGUCCAAAUUUCAGCAAACAUUCAAGGGAGUUUCAAAAUAGGGCAGCAGCUAGGAAUGGCUUAAAAGGGACAUAGUAAUAAAUACAAAAAGUGAAUAUUACUUGAAAUAGGAACUGAAAUUAAUACAAAAUAACCCAAAUUUUCCAUAGAAAAGUGACAACACAACCCAAAAUCUCCUUAAAAUUAUUCCUGUGAAUAGUGCCAUGACAAUAUCCGUAAACAGUGCCAUGAGUAAUACAUGUAAACAAUACCAUGAACAGUAUUAAACUCCUAAUGAAUAGAAAGCUCUAAUACCAUUAUAAAAAUUUAAGAACUAGAACAAGAAAAAAGAAAGGAAGUGAAGAGAUAGGAAAAAACUCAAAGGGGCUACAUCUU